rnacentral:lncRNA from 1 species
AUAAUGUUGAUUUUCACACAUUUGUCCUACAAAACAAGACAAGUAUUAUUAGUUGAUUGCACUUUGUUGAAGAAAACUACAAAAUACAUAAGCAGAUGAGUACUGUAUAAUAACUAGAAAGACAAGUCUAUGUGAAACAGAAAUACAUAUAUAGGCCAGUUUUACAUUUGAGAAAUGUACAGAAAGUAACUCAAUAGAAAACUAUUAUGAAUGAAAGCAAUUAGCCUUUUUAGUGAACAUCUUUUAAUUUCUGAAAAAGAAACACUCAAAGAUGAAAACACAGAGAUCCCCUUCAAUAAAAAAAAUCAAACAGCGAGCAUAUCAACAACUAUAUUAAUACAAAUAUAUUAAUAUUAUUUGGUUUUAAGUGGCUAUGUACAAAAAAUUACUAGCUACGUACAUUGGUUAGUAUCAUAGGACAUCUAUAUUAGUUGUGGAGCUUCUAAAUUGAUCAAUCUUGUUAAUUAAUACAUAAUUGCAUAAUUACUAAUGUUUAUGACCAUACUAUUUCAAUAACAAUUAUGAAAAAAAAUCAUGUAUACGCCAAUAAUAAACAGUGAGAUAUAUGAGAUUGAUUGGGAACAAGUUAUCAUUUCAUAAGUUUUCUCACCAUGUUUAUGAGAAAACUAAUCUAAUCACUAUGUUAUAGUCCCUCCGUCCGAAAUUGUUUGUCAUGUUGCGCUUAUCAAAAGUCAAUUUGACUAAUUUUCAAAGGUACAUUAGUUCACAAUAAUUCGAUAUUUUUAAAAAAAAAUUAGAUAUUCUAAAACUAUAUCAAAAGUACUUAAAUUACAACUUUUUAUAUAUUAAUAUGAUACAAAAAUAAUCUUAAAAUGUUAGUCAAAAAUUUUAUAAUUUGACUCUAAAAAUAGAAAUCAUGACAAACAAUACCGGACGGAGAAACUACUUUAUUAGAUUAAUAAUCACAUUACUUCUUAAAACAUCUAACCAAACACAAGAUACAAUAAUCUUAUAUUUUAUAAAAUUAUUAUACUUUAUGACACACACCAAAAUCUCCAGCUUAAAGAUAACUUUUAUAUAAAAUAUUUAAAUGAUUGUGUAAUCUUGUCUCAACUCUUGAAGCUUCUAGAUAUUUUAGCCACUAUUAGCAACUGUAAAUAAUUUCAUCAUGUUGGUAGGUAAGUUGUUAGCAAUAUUAUACUAAUAGUUCUUGGCAUGACAUGAAACUAAUUAAUAAAAAGGAUAUAUAAUUAUAUCAUAAACACUAACAAAAAAUUUGGAUGAGAAUACCUGAAAAGAGAAGACAUAAAAUAGCAAUAUAUGUAUUUGAAAAGACAUUCCGGUGAUGCUGCGGUAAACUUCAAAUACGAAGAAAAUAAACAACAAAAAAUGGAUAUUGAAUAAUUAUUGAUCAACUAAAUACAAUAGUCAAAUUGUCUUAGUGAAAACAAAGAAAAAUUAAUUUAUAACUAGCCUUUCAAUACAGUUGCAUCAAUACAGAAACUCAAACUUGAAAAUUUCUAUCAAACUUACCAUCCAAUCUUAUUAGACUUCUCUCCAAUUGUGAUCUAAAAUGAUGAAAUUAAACACUUGCUCUUUUUAUAAUUUUUACCAAAGUGUAGAACUACAAAGGAAUCACCGCUUAAUGGAUUUAGGAUUCAGACAGAGGGAGCAAAUAGUUAUAGAAGACCACGGUAAAAAUACAGAGCAGACGACCUUUAACAUUACGGCGACUCUCAGAUCUGGACGACCUUUAACAUUACGGCGGCCAUUGAAGCAUCAAUAGAUCUACGGUCACAUAUAGUUAUAAAAGACCAUGGUAAAAAUUGAAGUUACAAUUAAAAAAAAAAAGAGAGACAAGUCACAAGUUAAAUUAGAAUAUGGGGAAGUUUAAG